rnacentral:rRNA from 1 species
AACGAUCGCUGGCGGCAUGCCUAACACAUGCAAGUCGAACGAGACCUUCGGGUCUAGUGGCGCACGGGUGCGUAACGCGUGGGAACCUGCCCUUAGGUUCGGAAUAACUCCCCGAAAGGGGUGCUAAUACCGGAUAAUGUCUUCGGACCAAAGAUUUAUCGCCUUUGGAUGGGCCCGCGUUGGAUUAGCUAGUUGGUAGGGUAAAAGCCUACCAAGGCGACGAUCCAUAGCUGGUCUGAGAGGAAGAUCAGCCACACUGGGACUGAGACACGGCCCAGACUCCUACGGGAGGCAGCAGUGGGGAAUAUUGGACAAUGGGCGAAAGCCUGAUCCAGCAAUGCCGCGUGAGUGAUGAAGGCCUUAGGGUUGUAAAGCUCUUUUACCCGGGAUGAUAAUGACAGUACCGGGAGAAUAAGCUCCGGCUAACUCCGUG